AGGUCAUUGCUAUUGGAGUCCGAUUUAGCCAUGCUAGUUGUACGAGUUUAGACUCGUAGCAAAUAGCUCAGUAACACGUGGCCAAACUACCCUAUCGAGCACGAUACUCUCGGGAAACUGAGGUUAAUAGUGCAUACGGCUCGCUGCCUGGAGUGGCGCGAGCUCGAAAUGCUCAGGCGCGAUAGGAUGUGGCUGCGGCCGAUUAGGUAGACGGUGGGGUAACGGCCCACCGUGCCGAUAAUCGGUACGGGUUGUGAGAGCAAGAGCCCGGAGACGGUAUCUGAGACAAGAUACCGGGCCCUACGGGGCGCAGCAGGCGCGAAACCUUUACACUGCACGAGAGUGCGAUAAGGGGACUCCAAGUGCGAGGGCAUAUAGUCCUCGCUUUUUCCGACCGUAGGAUGGUCGGCGAAUAAGUGCUGGGCAAGACCGGUGCCAGCCGCCGCGGUAAUACCGGCAGCACAAGUGAUGACCGCUAUUAUUGGGCCUAAAGCGUCCGUAGCUGGCCACGCAAGUCCAUCGGGAAAUCUCCCCGCUCAACGGGGAGGCGUCCGGUGGAAACUGCAUGGCUUGGGACCGGAAGAUCCAGAGGGUACGUCUGGGGUAGGAGUGAAAUCCUGUAAUCCGAGACGGACCACCGGUGGCGAAAGCGCUCUGGAAAGACGGAUCCGACGGUGAGGGACGAAAGCUCGGGUCACGAACCGGAUUAGAUACCCGGGUAGUCCGAGCUGUAAACGAUGUCUGCUAGGUGUGGCACAGGCUACGAGCCUGUGCUGUGCCGUAGGGAAGCCGUGAAGCAGACCGCCUGGGAAGUACGUCUGCAAGGAUGAAACUUAAAGGAAUUGGCGGGGGAGCACUACAACCGGAGGAGCCUGCGGUUU
rnacentral:rRNA from 1 species